GUGGGGAAUAUUGGACAAUGGGCGAAAGCCUGAUCCAGCCAUGCCGCGUGUGUGAAGAAGGUCUUCGGAUUGUAAAGCACUUUAAGUUGGGAGGAAGGGCAGUAAGUUAAUACCUUGCUGUUUUGACGUUACCAACAGAAUAAGCACCGGCUAACUUCGUGCCAGCAGCCGCGGUAAUACGAAGGGUGCAAGCGUUAAUCGGAAUUACUGGGCGUAAAGCGCGCGUAGGUGGUUCAGCAAGUUGAAGGUGAAAUCCCCGGGCUCAACCUGGGAACUGCCUCCAAACCUACUGAGCUAGAGUACGGUAGAGGGUAGUGGAAUUUCCUGUGUAGCGGUGAAAUGCGUAGAUAUAGGAAGGAACACCAGUGGCGAAGGCGACUACCUGGACUGAUACUGACACUGAGGUGCGAAAGCGUGGGGAGCAAACAGGAUUAGAAACCCGUGUAGUCC
rnacentral:rRNA from 1 species